ACCUGCCGGAUUAGAUCAUAGACGCUCUAAUAAGAUGGACGACAUGGAUGGCAAGAAUAAUAAAUCUUGCACAACAAAUUGAUCCUGGAAACUGGACUGAGAAGACUGGGCAUGAUGUUGCUGUGACUAAACAAAUGGCUAUUUCAAACAAAUAUAACUACAAGAGAUAGACAGUGGCUUUCAUCUGUAUCUUUUUUUGUUACUUUUAGGGCUUGCCACGCCAGAGCUGUGGUAAUGAAUGUGGGGUUUUUAUGCUUAUGUAUACCCUUUGCUCUGUGACCGGUGUGGC